rnacentral:rRNA from 1 species
UACGUAGGGUGCAAGCGUUAAUCGGAUUUACUGGGCGUAAAGCGUGCGCAGGCGGUUUUGUAAGUCUGAUGUGAAAUCCCCGGGCUCAACCUGGGAAUUGCAUUGGAGACUGCAAGGCUAGAAUCUGGCAGAGGGGGGUAGAAUUCCACGUGUAGCAGUGAAAUGCGUAGAGAUGUGGAGGAACACCGAUGGCGAAGGCAGCCCCCUGGGUCAAGAUUGACGCUCAUGCACGAAAGCGUGGGGAGCAAACAGG